rnacentral:rRNA from 1 species
GGGGGACGCAGUAGGAUAGGCGAAGCGUGCGAUUGGAUUGCACGUCUAAGCAGUAAGGCUGAGUAUUAGGCAAAUCCGGUACUCAUUAAGGCUGAGCUGUGAUGGGGAGAAGACAUUGUGUCUUCGAGUCGUUGAUUUCACACUGCCGAGAAAAGCCUCUAGAUAGAAAAUAGGUGCCCGUACCGCAAACCGACACAGGUAGUCAAGAUGAGAAUUCUAAGGUGAGCGAGCGAACUCUCGUUAAGGAACUCGGCAAAAUGACCCCGUAACUUCGGGAGAAGGGGUGCUCUUUAGGGUUAACGCCCAGAAGAGCCGCAGUGAAUAGGCCCAAGCGACUGUUUAUCAAAAACACAGGUCUCUGCUAAACCGUAAGGUGAUGUAUAGGGGCUGACGCCUGCCCGGUGCUGGAAGGUUAAGAGGAGUGGUUAGCUUCUGCGAAGCUACGAAUCGAAGCCCCAGUAAACGGCGGCCGUAACUAUAACGGUCCUAAGGUAGCGAAAUUCCUUGUCGGGUAAGUUCCGACCCGCACGAAAGGCGUAACGAUUUGGGCACUGUCUCAACGAGAGACUCGGUGAAAUCAUAGUACCUGUGAAGAUGCAGGUUACCCGCGACAGGACGGAAAGACCCCGUGGAGCUUUACUGUAGCCUGAUAUUGAAAUUCGGCACAGCUUGUACAGGAUAGGUAGGAGCCUUUGAAACGUGAGCGCUAGCUUACGUGGAGGCGCUGGUGGGAUACUACCCUAGCUGUGUUGGCUUUCUAACCCGCACCACUUAUCGUGGUGGGAGACAGUGUCAGGCGGGCAGUUUGACUGGGGCGGUCGCCUCCUAAAAGGUAACGGAGGCGCUCAAAGGUUCCCUCAGAAUGGUUGGAAAUCAUUCAUAGAGUGUAAAGGCAUAAGGGAGCUUGACUGCGAGACCUACAAGUCGAGCAGGGUCGAAAGACGGAC